AUUGAACGCUGGCGGCAUGCUUUACACAUGCAAGUCGAACGGUAACAGGCCUUCGGGUGCUGACGAGUGGCGAACGGGUGAGUAAUGCAUCGGAACGUACCCAGAGGUGGGGGAUAACGCAGCGAAAGCUGUGCUAAUACCGCAUGUGAUCUGAGGAUGAAAGCGGGGGACCGAGCAGCAAUGUUUGGCCUCGCGCCUUUGGAGCGGCCGAUGUCGGAUUAGCUAGUUGGUGGGGUAAAGGCCUACCAAGGCGACGAUCCGUAGCUGGUCUGAGAGGACGACCAGCCACACUGGGACUGAGACACGGCCCAGACUCCUACGGGAGGCAGCAGUGGGGAAUUUUGGACAAUGGGCGCAAGCCUGAUCCAGCAAUGCCGCGUGCGGGAAGAAGGCCUUCGGGUUGUAAACCGCUUUUGGCAGCAACGAAACGGUGUCCGCUAAUACCGGGCGCUAAUGACGGUACCUGCAGAAUAAGCACCGGCUAACUACGUG
rnacentral:rRNA from 1 species